UUGCAAACAGUUCAUCUCAACAUUUUGGUAAGCAUGGGCAGUUCUACAGGCCUAACAGGAAUGGCUUAGCCUAAGUUAACACUCUUAGCGGGAUGAGGAUCCCACAGUUUGAAGAGUUGCAGUACGGCCAGAGUGUAAGGUAUAAGGGGCAGGUGGGCAGAGUCAGGGUGGGCCUGUGCCCCGGGCCCCAUUGGAAGCUCCCUACAGACCAGGCUAAGGCACGUGCAUCCCAUCUCGGAGACGGAAGCAGCCAGGGAUUUAAGCACAACUGGCGACAUCGCACCCAGGGAACAGAGCAUGGAGACACACACUGUGGCCCGCAGGUGCCUCAGCUGCCCAAUGACGCAUGUCCUGCGCACUGACGUGUCGCUGACCAGAACAAAGCUCAUGCCACGCCUAGCUGCAAGGGAGCAUGAGUGCAGAGGAGAAGCGCCAGGACUCUCGGACAACAGCGGAGGAUGGCUCAAGUGCUUGGGCCCCUGGACCCACGUAGGAGGCCCAGAAGUUCCUGGCUCCUGGCUUCAGAUGAGCGCAGCUCUAGCCAUUGCAGCCAUUUGGGGAGUGAACCAGCAGAUGGAAGACCUCUCUCUCUCUCUCUGCCUCUGCCAUUCUGUAAC